UCAAUCCCUGGAUCGUCAGGUCCAGACUCCAGAUUAUUUACAGACUGCCGUCAUAUAGCUGCAAUAUUGCUGCGUGAGGCGUUAAACAAGAAACAUACAAACACACACGUGAUUUCCAAAAUCGAUAGUACUGUAUAAUGGGACGAAUGUCUUUUAAAACAUUAGCGGCAGAACAGUAACCUCUAUGAUUAACAUUGUAUACAAUGAGACUCACCAAGAAUGCAAGUUCUGUAGCAUUCAAGGAGAAAUGUUAAGAUGGAAACUGAUUUCAAUUUUGCUUUCACCUUUUGUAGACAAUGGGGCGGUCGGGUAGCCUAGUGGUUAAAGCGUUCGCUCGUCACGCCGAAGACCCAGGUUCGAUUCCCGACAUGGGUACAAUGUGUGAAGCCCAUUUCUGGUGUCCCCCGCCGUGAUAUUGCUGGAGAAUUGCUAAAAGCGGCAUAAAACCAUACUCACUCACUCGUAGACAGAGGAAAUUAGGUUUAUAGAUGUUGUAACCUUUUCAAGAGCUGAAAAGUAGGAUUAAGGUUUCUGAAGAACAAACACAUUUGUUAUGUCCGGUAAUUUGCAUCGUAUACUGUUCUUACACUUAAUAUGGAGCCGUGGUGUAGUCCCUGUUUCCUGUAUGAAUUAAAACAGUAAGACAAUAGACUAGUUUUUCCUCUUCCCUGGUGUGUUCCGAAUGCAUGAAACUCUCUGGACACAAAUGUUUCAAGUUUGAUUUUUCUUUUGAUCUUGCUUGGUUUAAUGUUAUUUGAUACACUGUUUACCUAUUACACUGCUCAAGUCUACAGUGCUGGUAGCAUAACCCUUGUUCACACUAGUCUCCUCUCGGCGUCUUAGCUAACCUGACCAUGCUUAGUUUAGACCUAUGUCUUCUGUCCGCUUACCAUGAACUCUUGUACUGCUUGAAUCUGACAAACAUGCUGUAGCCAUGAACUCUUGUACUGCUUGAAUCUGACAAACAUGCGUUAGCCAUGAACUCUUGUACUGCUUGAAUCUGACAAACAUGCUGUAGCCAUGAACUCUUGUACUGCUUGAAUCUGACAAACAUGCUGUAGCCAUGAACUCUUGUACUGCUUGAAUCUGACAAACAUGCUGUAGCCAUGAACUCUUGUACUACUUGAAUCUGACAAACAUGCUGUAGGAAUUUCACCAAGAUUGUUUAACGCCACACUACACUAUUCUAUCUUUGUGACGGCGGCCUGUUAAACAAUCGAGUCAAGACCAGUUACAGUUAUUGAUAUAGUGAACAAUGAUCCAUGUCAUCGGGGUACCAUGGACAUGCUGUUAGUUUACAUAACCAAGUCUGACAACAUGAUCCAUGUGCUGGGAACAUAUUUCAUCCUGAAAACCCACGAGCACACAACCAAGGGACUGCUGGAAACCUUAAUAUCAGAUAGAUGAUAGGUGUGUAUUGUGGAGGUGGGCUGACACAGAUGUGGCAGUGAUAGUUAACAACACACAUACACACCUCACAACAGUACUGGGUGUUCAACAUGUAUCCCAGAGCAUCAAGAAAUGCCACAAAUGAUGAAACACAAAGUGCAAUACACAAAUCUAACAAUCUACAUCAACAAUGUCAGUCUUAAUUGUUUCAAUAGUAACAAUCAUGGUGGACCAAACAAAUACUUGCCCAAAAUAUCCUUUUAAACUUUGAAUGUGGAUGAAAAAGAAAUUGCAAACUUGACAGUGGCAGAUAUUGUGUUUGAUGUGUUAACUUUGUAGACUGUUAACUACGGUAGAACCGGGGCAGUGAUUGUGAAGAAGGAGUGGUAUACACUAGAGGGAGGAUUUAUGAGUAUUUGGGUGGCCUAUUCAGGAUGCUGUACCUUGAGAACUAAUCACUGGUUACUCCGUGCAGGUGAUGUGUUCGGACACUUUCAUGUGCAACAGUGAUGUGAAUUUAUGUGCAGGACUUUAGCAGUUUACUGGAGUAGUUGCUGGGACAGGCAUCACACCAUCUUUUGAUUAUCCAGUGCCGUGUGUUACAUCUCCAGUUUAUUAUGAUAAAUACCCCUGGACCUAGUUGCCACCAUAGCUUUGUUUUCAACCCAAUUCAAAUAGCACAGUGAUAGAAUUAUCUAUCUCAUCUAAUUACUCUAGUGAAUGAGAGAACGUAUGUGCUGGGUUAGUGAUAAUGUCAAGGUGUGGCGGCGAGUGGGUCAUGGAUGCUAAUGUUGAUGCAGUGGAGACCUAACACACUGGAUAAAUGAGCAAGGCAUCAUACCUGCUAGAAGCUUUAUAGAUACAUUGUAUUGGUAGCGUAUAAUUGUUGUUGUUGUUGUUAUUAUUAUUAUUAUCAUUAUUAUUAUUAUUAUUAUCCGUCAGUCUGUACAGGAUGAGCUGUGUGUGAAGUGAUUGAAUGUUUUUGACUGAGCUAUUGAGUGAUGGAAGUCAUGGUUUGACUUGUCUGUACAGGACUAACGAGUGCACCACACAUUUGUUUAGCAUAUACUGAACAAUAGAUUUGGGACCAUGAAUAUUUUUGAAGAUGCCUUUUUGUAGUAAUCUCUGAACACAUAAAAUUAACCAAAACAUAUUCAGUCCCUAACGUUUUUUGUUCAGUACCUCGGUGUAAGUUGCCAUUCAAAUUGUUUGGUGUAAGUUUCUUUGAAACAGAUAGAUCUUAUCUUUACUGUUUUGUACUAAAUGUAGACAGAUAUUAAACACAACAUAAUUCUUGGUGAACAUUAUUCAAUAUUGUCACUAUUGCAGGUAUUAUUUGCUCGUAUAUAUUCAGUAACAACAUUCGCUGGGUGCAAUAUAUUUAAGACAGUUGUGUAACGUGUAUACUCAGCCCUGGUAUAGUGACAUUUCAAAACACCAUCCUUUCGUAAUCUUUCAAGGCUAGUGAAUGUUUUGGAACUGCUUUUCUUGUCGAGUUACCUCCCUUGUCGCUGCCCUCGAUAUAAAUAUUGCUUGCCUGAGUCCAUGUACAGCGGUAUCAUUGAAUCUGUUAGAUAGAGUAAUGGAUACAAUUUUGAUUUUAUGUUUUUCCCUCACGAUGUUUUUUGUUGUAAUGAUUGUCAGUAUAUAGUAUAGUUACAGAGCUUUUAAGUAGAAAUUCGCUUUUAAGAGAAACAAAUCAACAAUAACAUGUCAGCUCAUGAUCUGGGAAUGUUUUUAAGUGAUUGUAAGGUGGUGAUGUUUACGUGCACUAAUAUUGUACCUAACAAACCAAGCAGACGAACUUUGUGUGUGUGUGUGUGUGUGUGUGCGUGCGUGCGUGCGUGCGUGCGUGCGUGCGUGCAGUGUGGACUUGGCAAUUCACCCUUUAGUAAUUGUGUAAUGUAUUGCUAUGAGUUAGAACUGUUCUUCAGCAACCAAUGCUUGUCGUAAGAGGGUGAUUAACGGGAUUGGGUGGUCGGGCUGACUUGGUUGAUGGAUGUCGUCGUAUCCCACUCGCGUAGACCAAUGCUCAUGAUAUCAAGCUUUAUUUACCACCGCUAUGUAGCUGAAAUAUUGCUGAUUGCAGCGUUUAUCAACAAAGAAAUGUAUUUUACAGUAUAUCCUAUCACCAAUAAUAUAUCUUGGCGUAGCUGAGGUGAUGAAACGUACUCAUGUGAACCCUAACCCUGGAUCUAAGUAUGUAAACAAUAAAUGACGAUCCUGUAAUAUUUGAUUAUGUCGUUGAUGUACAUAUCUCUGGUAACUUUGUGUUAUAAUAAUUAUUUUGUGAAAUGAGCAUGUUCAUAUAGUCCUGAGGUCAUUGUUAAACCGCUGUCAUGUAAUCGUUGAAUCGGUGACGGGUCGUGGUUUGCGAUUUGACGAACGGAUUGUCUUAUAUGUUUGAAUUGUGACAAAUUGUCAGGGCAUGCUGGUAAGUGUGUGCGGCCAAUAUCAGUCACUUGACACCUUCAGAUGAAGUUUGAGCUAUAUAUAUAUGUGAUUGCUGCCAUGUGUGUGUCCUAGAGACUUGACCCGUUCUCCGAGUAAAUGGUCCACAAGACAUGCCAGACAUUAGGUGCCAGACAUGUGUCCUCUGACUAGAUCCAUGUCUUCCGGUAUAAAACAUUGAACAUGCCCCAGACGACAUGUGAUUCUGUGACAAAUCUGCAGCUGGAAGGCUGGCUGAAUGAUUGAAUGAUUGAAUGAUAUUGUUUCUCGCUCAGAUAUUCCGGUACAAAACAUUGAACAUGUCUUACAUGGCCGUGUGACAAAAAUAGGUUGCUCGCUGUUUCUCACUCAGCUAUGUGCUGGCUGUCUCGGUGUGUUUUUGGACCCGGCAAUGAUCAUUGAAUUUUGCACUAUGGGCUGUUCAUGUGCCUUAUCAGUGUUCGAUUCCUUAAAAUAGGCAGCUAUUCACAGAGCUUUUUGUCUCUCACGGACGUACAUUGUGUUUUGUCAAAGGGAGGGAUAGAAUUUGUUUCAUGGUGCAUGAAAGUAUUUAUUUUGUGUUUAUAAGAAAAUAUUAUUCAACGUGAUCUUCAGUCGCAAAAACUGUUUCUGAAUCUGUUCAGUCGGCAGAUGAGAUAGGAAACUUACGGAGAUGUUCCUUCCGGCUGGAACUUUCAAAGACCGCCUCUGGUCUAGUGGUAGAGAGUCCGCCUUGAGAGCGAAAGGUCCGGGGUUCGAUCCCCAGACGCGUCAUACCAGAAAGACUUUAAAAGGUGGUACCCGUUGUGAGCCUGUCUGGCGCUGGCAGUAAGGGGCUAAAACAAGGACUGGUCGGCUCGGAGUCGGCAUACUGUGUCUGGGUGGGGUGUUCAUGUUAAACUUGCGGCAUGGUAUCUCCGUGGGCUACCUCUAUAAAUUUGGCAUUAGUCCGCGCGCGCGCGCACGCACGCACACACACAGAGGCGCUAUAUAAGUGCAAUGAUAUUGAACGCGACGUUCAACCCCAUUUCACCUCAUCCCGAAUUUUCAACCUUCAUAUUUGAAGGAUCACAAGGCAAAAGAGGCGAUACAGAGUGCUUUUAGAAGAAUAUACGACAACAAAAUAGGUUGGACACUUUAAAUUUUUUGAUAAAAGUUUCAGUUUUGUCUUUCGAAAUGUUCGCGAGACAAAACUUUCCCUCGGGUUUGGCGUUACAUGUAAACAGUCCUUGGUUUAUCCUUUACCUCAUUCCCCCCAUCAAUAUUUUAUCACCAACCAAACAAGUGCUAAUCCGUGUGAUUUGACAUCAUGUCAGUCGGCCAUAUGUCGGUGCUUUGUACAUACACUAGUAUCAGUUAUGUGGCGUUCAAUAUGUUCCUUUGAAAAUUGCCGUCAAUUUUGUUCAAUUAUUU
rnacentral:lncRNA from 1 species